rnacentral:rRNA from 1 species
CGGAAGCCUGACGGAGCAACGCCGCGUGUGGGAAGAAGGCUCUUGGGCUGUCAACCACUUUUCUCAGGGAAGAAGUCCUGACGGUACCUGAGGAAUCAGCCUCGGCUAACUCCGUGCCAGCAGCCGCGGUAAUACGGAGGAGGCAAGCGUUAUCCGGAAUUAUUGGGCGUAAAGCGUCCGCAGGUGGUCUGGCAAGUCUGCUGUCAAAGACCGGGGCUUAACUCCGGAAAGGCAGUGGAAACUGCGAGACUAGAGUGCGGUAGGGGUAGAGGGAAUUCCCGGUGUAGCGGUGAAAUGCGUAGAGAUUGGGAAGAACACCGGUGGCGAAAGCGCUCUACUGGGUCGCGCCUGACCCUCAGGGACGAAAGCUAAGGUAGCG